rnacentral:lncRNA from 1 species
AAGGUGCAGCAAGCUGUUGGGGGUGAGCAGCAGUGUCCUUCUCUUCACAGGCCUCUAUUUGCAUUGUAAAUUGCUUCAUUCUCACGGAAGAUUCUUUAGCCUUCCUCUACUGAGAUGUAUAAAGCCAUCGGCAGUUUCCAACGCUGGUUAAAGAGGAAGAAGGGGGAAAUCCCAUUCUAUAGAAGUGACAGCUGAUUCAAAGAUCUGCUCCGGAUCAUUGGGUUAGGCAUCAUGAUCUUUUUUACCAAGUGCAGGCAGCUUGAUUGCACAUAUCUUGUAUGUGAAUGUUUUAAGGGAGAUCCUCGAUUUCUUAGGACUUCUAGGCGGGCAGAGCAUGCCCUCUUGCUGGCGUACUGCUGCCCCGGUCUGAAAGAAGGAGAAAAGGGCCAUCAUUGGAGGGGCUUUCACCGCCAAAUUGUGGACCAGCCCGGCAAGGUCAAAGGUUUGAGACUGCGGGAGACCAAGGUAAUGAUGAUGUCAUGAGAAAUCUCAAGUACAUGGUUAUUGAUAUGCAUCAGUGGUCACCCAACUGCCCCACGCCUGCUGCCAGGAGUAGCACAGGCGACGGCGGCGGCGACGGCGGCAGCGGUGGCGGCGACGGCAGCAGCAGCUUUGCAGCAGUCCCUAUAUUCUCAAUCAACAUUUCAUCCACUAGCACUACGGACUGCUCCUUGAAAAGCAACCCGCGGCCUUUUACCUCCUUGGCGCUAGUGUAGAUCGCUCUAAUAUCCAAAGAAUGGAGAAAAUCUCUCUCUAAGGAUAGAUAAAAGCAUUUCAGGUCUGGGGAACUUCUUUGCCUGCAUUUCUCUUCUGGCAGAUUGCAUAGGCAGGCAGAUGGAAGGCACUUUACUAUUGCUUAAAGCAGGGCCUCGCUUUCUGGGGCUGGGAAUCAGCUCUGUUUUUACGCAGUGAGUCGAUGGUUACAAUGACAAUUUGCUUUGGUGUUAUGUUUUUAAUGGCUUUACAGCUCAGUCAUGUUUUCUAUCUGUGUACCGUGGCGAUAGGGCAGCAUAUUUGUUCUGUAAGUUCGAACUGCACGAUCUAAACAGUGGGGCUUCUUUUUUAAAAAUGCUUUGCAUAUAGAGUGUGUGUGGGGGUUAGCAUGCUGCACAGGUAAACAUUGCAGCAAUAGUUUCAAUGUUGUACACAACUCUGCUGUAGCAAAAAUGCUGAGCCUUUGUCUACUGUUUUAACAUAAAUUUCACACUGGACAAUAAUGCACUAGACUUGCUUAUAAAAUUAAAAUAAAAGUCUUGUCUCCUGAACAUGUAGAUCCAACACCUGGAUGGGGAGGGAGGGAAGCUACCACACCUCCCUGGCCCCACCCACUCAUAUCCUUCUAUCGAGAAGCAGAAGGUCAUUUCAUUAAUUAAUUAGCUUCAUUCAUUGUCUUAGGAGUUUUUAAAGUGUGACUUUAAAAUCACUUCAAAGAAUCCUUUUCUUUCUCAUCCUUUAUAAUAGAUAAUCUGUCUAGCACAUCUAAUAUCUAACAUUCAAAUCCCUCUCAACAAAAUAUUCAUGGUAAUCUACAUAAGAAGCAUGUUCUCUGUGGGUAAACAUUAUGGAUUAUUGUUCAAAUUACUAAUUAUUUUUUAGUAAUGUUGCUUUUCUUUAAGUUACAUGCUAAAGGAGAAUUAGUAAUUCUAAAUGUACAUUGCACACAUCACCUGUGCCUCACAAUGCUCUCAAUUCCAUAAUGUGUCUAUUUUCCCCAGUGGCUAAAAUACUUUUGGAUUUAUUAAUUUUUUUGGAAUAAAAUUUUUCUCAGUAAUUCACUAAUUUAUUCAUUUAACACAUAAAUAAGAACCUGGUUAUUUAAUCACAUACAGAGCCCUAAAAUCUAAACUCUGUAAAGAAGAGACUGACAAGUUUUUUUUGUUUGUUUGUUUGGUUUGUGUUUUAAUGAUAGGAAACAUCUCCAAUGAAGAGUUUAAACAUAUCACACCAAUUAAGAUAUGGCUUACAGCUUAGUAACAGAGAUGCCAAUUUGUCCUUAUAUUAAUUUGUUUACUUUUAUGGUAAGCAUUCUGUAACUGGCUAUUGAGAAAAGACUAAGAUGUGGAAAGAGUUCGUCUAUAUUUCUCUUCAAAUUAUGAACGAGAAGUCAGAAAUAAAAUACACACGGACACUACAAUCCAAUCCUAAAGGCAUGUUCAUAGAGUUUUUGUUCAUUCCUAAACCAUAUGGUCACAGCAUAAACAACUCAGUGAAGCGCAUGCCACUUCUGACAUCAUGUAAAAAUCCUAAUGAGCUUUGCAGCUUGGAAGAUUAAAGAGCACCGUGGCCUUGCUUUCCAAGAACUAGCAGCAGAGUAAUUAAUGAUUUGGCUUGUAUUACAUAAAAUAAGCACGUGAUCAGAUAUAGUCAACUGUGUAAGCCAAAGCCCAAGAAAUCAAAAAUGGUCUUAUAGAAUCUCUUUUCUUCACAUGUAUCUAGGUGUGCUAGCUACAUAUAUAUAUCUAUGUGUUGGGAGGGUGUUAUUUAUUCACAUAUUUUCUGAAUUUGAAAGUUAUUAUGACUCUAUUCCCAUACCUAACAAUAAAAUGUGUUUUUAGAAACAAUAUCUACAAUGAGUUAACACACUGCAUAUCUGAACGCUUCUCCCACUAGAAUCUGAAUAAGAUGCUGUAAUAAAUACCACAUUCUUAGGGCAACACUAGUCAUGCCAACUUACUACAAGGCCGGUCUCCACGCUUGGUAUUCAUCAUGGGAACUCCAAUGAGUGAAAUGAGCCAAGAUCAGGAUUAUGGGUAGUCUGUUCAUUAGCAAUGUAGUCAAUUAAAUAUUUUAACUCUCUAUCAACCUCACAGGCACACAGAAGAAAUUAAAUAUACUAAGAUUUAACAUCGAGUGCCCCCUUAUUUAUAAGAUUGCCAAGGUUUAUAAAAUGGUUUAUUGUAUGUAUUAUAUAUACCCCACAAUACGUUACAAUUACAUAUCUUCAAAGACUCCUAGCGAUGUCACCUGUGAAGAGCAGCUCUUAGCAACUACACUUUAAACUUAAUUUUUUUUUUGCUUUUAAAAGAUUAUCUAGCUGAGCUACAGAAUAUCUACUUGAAAAUCAGCAUAGAGAAGGAUAUACUGAAUUCAAGCAGCCUGAAUUCAAGCACUAAAUUCUCACUACUAUCUAGUAGAUUAGAGUAUGGUUGUUGUGCUUGCUUGCAGAUAGUUUGUAGGUCUCCAAAUUGCUGAAACAUGACUUGAAACAUCCUAGUUUAUUUGGGGAUAAAACAAUCUCUCCUGAUUUACAGUAAAAAGUUAUGGUUUUCCUCAUAUUUGGGCCAGAAAUAUGCUAUUUAAUUAAUUCAUAUACACUUGGUUUAUGAUCAAUAUUUGGAACGUCUUUGAAUCCUAUACACAUGAAUGCAGAAUGCAUAAGGAACUGGCCCAACACCAAAUCAUUUUAAAUAUUUCAUUUAUAAGAAUUACAAAUGUGCAAAUUGUAGUCUACAGUCAAUACUACUAUUGUCUUAUUUUUUAAGCCAUUUUAUUUACAUUAGUGUCCAUGGUCCAAGUGAUGAAGUGAACUGGCUUUCAUUAUAAUAAAAGUAUCUUACCCUUUCCUCUAAAUAGGAGCUUCUUUCUUAUAGGCUAUUGCAGGUUUUAUUUAUGUCAUGCUCUAUGCAUAUACAUAUAUGUGUGUAUUACAUCCAUACAAAGGCUCCUACAGGAGAAAUAACUGUACACAGAGGAACUUAGAUGUUUCUGGAAUUCUAUCUGUUGCAAGAGAAGAUGUGUGAGAGAUUGUAGACCUGUUUUCCAGUAAACAAUAUUCUAUUUUCGUUUUGUACAUCAGUCAGGUUUUAUCAAAUAAAAAAAUGUAAAUU